rnacentral:lncRNA from 1 species
CUGACAUUAAGUCUUAAGUCUGGUUUAGGUACCGGAUUAGGCUUGGUGUGUAUUUGGUUAUUGUAGGCUUGACGUUAGCCUGUAUGUGUUUGAGUGAUUACUUGUGAAGGGUGGUGGAUAUUAAAGCUAUGCGGUAUCAUUGGUUGGCCGAUCAUGUUCUUGUUUGAUUGUUGGUUGAUCGGCUAAUGAUACUUGUAUAGUCUAAGUGUCUAACACUACAUAAGUACUGAACUCAAGCAUAUAUAUGGUUAACUAGGGAUUGCUUGUUGACUUGUUUUAAUGCAGGU